rnacentral:rRNA from 1 species
GGGUUGUGAGGUUAAGCGACUAAGCGUACACGGUGGAUGCCCUGGCAGUCAGAGGCGAUGAAGGGCGUGCUAAUCUGCGAUAAGCGCCGGUAAGGUGAUAUGAACCGUUAUAACCGGCGAUACCCGAAUGGGGAAACCCAGUGUGACUCGUCACACUAUCAUUAACUGAAUCCAUAGGUUAAUGAGGCGAACCGGGGGAACUGAAACAUCUAAGUACCCCGAGGAAAAGAAAUCAACCGAGAUUCCCCCAGUAGCGGCGAGCGAACGGGGAGGAGCCCAGAGCCUGAAUCAGCAUGUGUGUUAGUGGAAGCGUCUGGAAAGGCGCGCGAUACAGGGUGACAGCCCCGUACACAAAAGCGCAUGUGCUGUGAGCUCGAUGAGUAGGGCGGGACACGUGGUAUCCUGUCUGAAUAUGGGGGGACCAUCCUCCAAGGCUAAAUACUCCUGACUGACCGAUAGUGAACCAGUACCGUGAGGGAAAGGCGAAAAGAACCCCGGCGAGGGGAGUGAAAAAGAACCUGAAACCGUGUACGUACAAGCAGUGGGAGCACAGGUUUACCUGUGUGACUGCGUACCUUUUGUAUAAUGGGUCAGCGACUUAUAUUCUGUAGCAAGGUUAACCGUAUAGGGGAGCCGUAGGGAAACCGAGUCUUAACCGGGCGUUAAGUUGCAGGGUAUAGACCCGAAACCCGGUGAUCUAGCCAUGGGCAGGUUGAAGGUUGGGUAACACUAACUGGAGGACCGAACCGACUAAUGUUGAAAAAUUAGCGGAUGACCUGUGGCUGGGGGUGAAAGGCCAAUCAAACCGGGAGAUAGCUGGUUCUCCCCGAAAGCUAUUUAGGUAGCGCCUCGUGAAUUCAUCUCCGGGGGUAGAGCACUGUUUCGGCUAGGGGGCCAUCCCGGCUUACCAACCCGAUGCAAACUGCGAAUACCGGAGAAUGUUAUCACGGGAGACACACGGCGGGUGCUAACGUCCGUCGUGAAGAGGGAAACAACCCAGACCGCCAGCUAAGGUCCCAAAGUCAUGGUUAAGUGGGAAACGAUGUGGGAAGGCCCAGACAGCCAGGAUGUUGGCUUAGAAGCAGCCAUCAUUUAAAGAAAGCGUAAUAGCUCACUGGUCGAGUCGGCCUGCGCGGAAGAUGUAACGGGGCUAAACCAUGCACCGAAGCUGCGGCAGCGACACUAUGUGUUGUUGGGUAGGGGAGCGUUCUGUAAGCCUGUGAAGGUGGCCUGUGAGGGUUGCUGGAGGUAUCAGAAGUGCGAAUGCUGACAUAAGUAACGAUAAAGCGGGUGAAAAGCCCGCUCGCCGGAAGACCAAGGGUUCCUGUCCAACGUUAAUCGGGGCAGGGUGAGUCGACCCCUAAGGCGAGGCCGAAAGGCGUAGUCGAUGGGAAACGGGUUAAUAUUCCCGUACUUGGUGUUACUGCGAAGGGGGGACGGAGAAGGCUAUGUUGGCCGGGCGACGGUUGUCCCGGUUUAAGCGUGUAGGUGUGUGUUCCAGGUAAAUCCGGUUCACUUUAACACUGAGGCGUGACGACGAGGCACUACGGUGCUGAAGCAACAAAUGCCCUGCUUCCAGGAAAAGCCUCUAAGCAUCAGGUAACAUCAAAUCGUACCCCAAACCGACACAGGUGGUCAGGUAGAGAAUACCAAGGCGCUUGAGAGAACUCGGGUGAAGGAACUAGGCAAAAUGGUGCCGUAACUUCGGGAGAAGGCACGCUGACACGUAGGUGAAGUGAUUUACUCAUGGAGCUGAAGUCAGUCGAAGAUACCAGCUGGCUGCAACUGUUUAUUAAAAACACAGCACUGUGCAAACACGAAAGUGGACGUAUACGGUGUGACGCCUGCCCGGUGCCGGAAGGUUAAUUGAUGGGGUCAGCGCAAGCGAAGCUCCUGAUCGAAGCCCCGGUAAACGGCGGCCGUAACUAUAACGGUCCUAAGGUAGCGAAAUUCCUUGUCGGGUAAGUUCCGACCUGCACGAAUGGCGUAAUGAUGGCCAGGCUGUCUCCACCCGAGACUCAGUGAAAUUGAACUCGCUGUGAAGAUGCAGUGUACCCGCGGCAAGACGGAAAGACCCCGUGAACCUUUACUAUAGCUUGACACUGAACAUUGAGCCUUGAUGUGUAGGAUAGGUGGGAGGCUUUGAAGUGUGGACGCCAGUCUGCAUGGAGCCGGCCUUGAAAUACCACCCUUUAAUGUUUGAUGUUCUAACGUGGACCCGUAAUCCGGGUUGCGGACAGUGUCUGGUGGGUAGUUUGACUGGGGCGGUCUCCUCCUAAAGAGUAACGGAGGAGCACGAAGGUUGGCUAAUCCUGGUCGGACAUCAGGAGGUUAGUGCAAUGGCAUAAGCCAGCUUGACUGCGAGCGUGACGGCGCGAGCAGGUGCGAAAGCAGGUCAUAGUGAUCCGGUGGUUCUGAAUGGAAGGGCCAUCGCUCAACGGAUAAAAGGUACUCCGGGGAUAACAGGCUGAUACCGCCCAAGAGUUCAUAUCGACGGCGGUGUUUGGCACCUCGAUGUCGGCUCAUCACAUCCUGGGGCUGAAGUAGGUCCCAAGGGUAUGGCUGUUCGCCAUUUAAAGUGGUACGCGAGCUGGGUUUAGAACGUCGUGAGACAGUUCGGUCCCUAUCUGCCGUGGGCGCUGGAGAACUGAGGGGGGCUGCUCCUAGUACGAGAGGACCGGAGUGGACGCAUCACUGGUGUUCGGGUUGUCAUGCCAAUGGCACUGCCCGGUAGCUAAAUGCGGAAGAGAUAAGUGCUGAAAGCAUCUAAGCACGAAACUUGCCCCGAGAUGAGUUCUCCCUGAGACUACGAGUCUCCUGAAGGAACGUUGAAGACGACGACGUUGAUAGGCCGGGUGUGUAAGCGCAGCGAUGCGUUGAGCUAACCGGUACUAAUGAACCGUGAGGCUUAACCUUACAACGCCGAAG